rnacentral:rRNA from 1 species
UACGUAGGGGGCAAGCGUUGUCCGGAAUUAUUGGGCGUAAAGAGCGCGUAGGCGGUCCGAUAAGUCGGCUGUGAAAGCCCACGGCUCAACCGUGGAGGGUCAUUGGAAACUGGGGGACUUGAGUGCAGGAGAGAAGAGUGGAAUUCCACGUGUAGCGGUGAAAUGCGUAGAGAUGUGGAGGAACACCGGUGGCGAAGGCGGCCUGCUGGGCAGUUGCUGACACUGAGGCGCGACAGCGUGGGGAGCAAACAGG